rnacentral:rRNA from 1 species
UACAGAGGGUGCGAGCGUUAAUCGGAAUUACUGGGCGUAAAGCGUGCGUAGACGGUCUUGUAAGUCGGGUGUGAAAUCCCCGGGCUCAACCUGGGAAUUGCAUUCGAGACUGCAAGGCUUGGGUGCGGAAGAGGGAAGCGGAAUUUCCGGUGUAGCGGUGAAAUGCGUAGAUAUCGGAAGGAACAUCAGUGGCGAAAGCGGCUUCCUGGUCCAGCACCGACGUUCAGGCACGAAAGCGUGGGGAGCAAACAGG